rnacentral:rRNA from 1 species
GAUGAACGCUAGCUACAGGCUUAACACAUGCAAGUCGCGGGGCAGCAUGGGGGUUGCUUGCAAUCCCCGAUGGCGACCGGCGCACGGGUGAGUAACGCGUAUCCAACCUGCCCUUCACCACGGGAUAACCCGGCGAAAGUCGGACUAAUACCGUAUGUUGUCCAUUGACGGCAUCCGAUUUGGACGAAAGGUUUGGCGGUGAAGGAUGGGGAUGCGUCCGAUUAGCUGGACGGCGGGGUGACGGCCCACCGUGGCGACGAUCGGUAGGGGUUCUGAGAGGAAGGUCCCCCACACUGGAACUGAGACACGGUCCAGACUCCUACGGGAGGCAGCAGUGAGGAAUAUUGGUCAAUGGGAGUAAGCCUGAACCAGCCAAGUAGCGUGCAGGAUGACGGCCCUAUGGGUUGUAAACUGCUUUUAUGCGGGGAUAAAGUGGCCCACGUGUGGGUUUUUGCAGGUACCGCAUGAAUAAGGACCGGCUAAUUCCGUG